UGGGGGAUAUUGCACAAUGGGCGAAAGCCUGAUGCAGCGACGCCGCGUGGGGGAUGAAGGCCUUCGGGUUGUAAACUUCUUUUGCUCUGAACAAGGCGCACCAUGGGGUGUGUUGAGUGUAGGGGUUGAUUAGCGCCGGCUAACUACGUGCCAGCAGCCGCGGGAAUACGUAGGGCGCGAGCGUUGUCCGGAAUUAUUGGGCGUAAAGGGCUUGUAGGUGGCUGGUUGCGUCUGUCGUGAAAGCUCAUGGCUUAACUGGGGGUUUGCGGUGGGUACGGGCUGGCUUGAGUGCAGUAGGGGAGGCUGGAAUUCCUGGUGUAGCGGUGGAAUGCGCAGAUAUCAGGAGGAAUACCGGUGGCGAAGGCGGGUCUCUGGGCUGUUACUGACACUGAGGAGCGAAAGCAUGGGGAGCGAACAGG
rnacentral:rRNA from 1 species